UACGUAGGGGGCAAGCGUUGUCCGGAUUUAUUGGGCGUAAAGAGCGUGUAGGCGGCCAGGUAGGUCUGCUGUGAAAACUCGAGGCUUAACCUCGAGCUGUCGGCGGAAACCAUCUGGCUAGAGUCCGGAAGAGGAGAAUGGAAUUCCCGGUGUAGCGGUGAGAUGCGCAGAUAUCGGGAAGAACACCCGUGGCGAAGGCGGCUUGCCAGAAUGCGCUCGACGGUGAGGAAUGAAAGCUGGGGGAGCAAACCGG
rnacentral:rRNA from 1 species